UCUGUUUGCUGUUCCUUUGUGUUGUGUUGCUGUGCUGCUAAUGGAAUAUAAAUGCUAAAGCUAAAUUAAAUGAAAAAGUGUAGGCCACUGUGCCACCUCUACACUGUGAUUCCACAAUGGCUGAAUACUUCAGGUCAGAAGACGGAGCCCCAGUUCAACCAGUUCAUCACAAGUGGGCUGACAGAAGAGUCGAUAUCAAGGAAGGAUGAAAUACUGAUGGGAAAACGAAUGCAUCCGGGCACCAUACUGGUCUAGCAGCACGUCAUACUGGAGCUGGAGUAACACCGUCCCGUCCCUCCAGUGCAACGUGGCGACUCUCCUUCCAGCUGCGAGAUCAAAUGAAAGGUGGGUGUAACAUCAUGACAGUGGAAUGAGCGGACCAAUAUUCCCGUAUAUCUGUGCACCGAGACUAAAAGCGAUGUUAAUCCACCGUCUCUUUGUCUCCAAUGGACCGGCCUAAUCCCCGCAGAUUACACUGGAAUAUAGGGUUACAAUACUGUCAUAGUUGUGUAAUGCAACAAAUCCUGAUAUCUUGCAAUGCACACACACACGCACACACACGCACGCACGCACGCACGCACGCACACACACACACACACACACACACACACACACACACACACACACACACACACACACACACAGACCAUAUAUGAGACAGGAAACCAGAGACAGGGCCCGACUAUAAAUCGCACAUGCCGACUCUGGCAUGCACCAGAUCAACGAGGAUGAAAUGAAACAAAUUCCUCUUUGCCGCAAAAAUAUUCACACGGACAAGAGACAUGCUGCAGCAGUAAUUAGCCUUUAAAUAUCAAGGGUCGAAAGCAUUAAUACUAAUAAUAGUAAUAAUAAUAUCAAUAUAAUAAUAAUAAUAAUAAUCUGACCCAAUAACGUAUGUCUCCUGUGUGAAGACGAUUGUAUUUGCAAUAUGUUCACGCACAUGCCCUUUAGAACAAUAGACGUGCUACCCGGUGAAUGCCAGUGUCACUAAAUAUGAAGAAUUAAUUAAUUAGAAGACGAGGAUGAACAUUCUUUUUUUUUUUUUUUAAUUUUCCCUUUCAUUCCAGCUACACACAGUUAAAACUGGGCCGAAUAAGACCACUGCCUGUAUCAUGUGACGUCAUGUCAACGGUUAAUGCGCAGGCCUCUGACUGAAAAACAAAAAGAAA